rnacentral:rRNA from 1 species
AGUGAACGCUGGCGGUAGGCCAAACACAUGCAAGUCGAACGGCAGCACAGUAAGAGCUUGCUCUUACGGGUGGCGAGUGGUGGACGGGUGAGGAAUACAUCGGAAUCUACUUUUUCGUGGGGGAUAACGUAGGGAAACUUACGCUAAUACCGCAUACGACCUACGGGUGAAAGCAGGGGAUCUUCGGACCUUGCGCGAUUGAAUGAGCCGAUGUCGGAUUAGCUAGUUGGCGGGGUAAAGGCCCACCAAGGCGACGAUCCGUAGCUGGUCUGAGAGGAUGAUCAGCCACACUGGAACUGAGACACGGUCCAGACUCCUACGGGAGGCAGCAGUGGGGAAUAUUGGACAAUGGGCGCAAGCCUGAUCCAGCCAUACCGCGUGGGUGAAGAAGGCCUUCGGGUUGUAAAGCCCUUUUGUUGGGAAAGAAAAGCAGCAGGUUAAUACCCCGCUGUUCUGACGGUACCCAAAGAAUAAGCACCGGCUAACUUCGUG